UACGAAGGGUGCAAGCGUUACUCGGAAUUACUGGGCGUAAAGCGUGCGUAGGCGGUUUGUUAAGUCCGCUGUGAAAGCCCUGGGCUCAACCUGGGAAUUGCAGUGGAUACUGGCAAGCUAGAGUGCGGUAGAGGAUGGUGGAAUUCCCGGUGUAGCGGUGAAAUGCGUAGAGAUCGGGAGGAACACCCGUGGCGAAGGCGGCCAUCUGGACCAGCACUGACGCUGAGACGCGAAAGCGUGGGGAGCGAACAGG
rnacentral:rRNA from 1 species